GAUGAACGCUGGCGGCGUGCUUAACACAUGCAAGUCGAACGGGAAUUACUUUAUUGAAACUUCGGUCGAUAUGAUUUAAUUCUAGUGGCGGACGGGUGAGUAACGCGUGGGUAACCUGCCUUAUACAGGGGGAUAACAGUCAGAAAUGACUGCUAAUACCGCAUAAGCGCACAGAGCUGCAUGGCUCGGUGUGAAGAACUCCGGUGGUAUAAGAUGGACCCGCGUUGGAUUAGCUAGUUGGUGAGGUAACGGCCCACCAAGGCGACGAUCCAUAGCCGGCCUGAGAGGGUGAACGGCCACAUUGGGACUGAGACACGGCCCAGACUCCUACGGGAGGCAGCAGUGGGGAAUAUUGCACAAUGGGGGAAACCCUGAUGCAGCGACGCCGCGUGAAGGAAGAAGUAUCUCGGUAUGUAAACUUCUAUCAGCAGGGAAGAAAAUGACGGUACCUGACUAAGAAGCCCCGGCUA
rnacentral:rRNA from 1 species